GACGAACGCUGGCGGCGUGCCUAAUACAUGCAAGUCGAGCGGACGAAUCGAAAGCUUGCUUUUGAUUCGUUAGCGGCGGACGGGUGAGUAACACGUGGGCAACCUGCCCUGUAGACGGGGAUAACACCGAGAAAUCGGUGCUAAUACCGGAUAACACGAAAUGUCGCAUGACGUUUCGUUGAAAGACGGCGCAAGCUGCCGCUACAGGAUGGGCCCGCGGCGCAUUAGCUAGUUGGUGAGGUAACGGCUCACCAAGGCGACGAUACGUAGCCGACCUGAGGGGGUGGUCGGCCACACUGGGACUGAGACACGGCCCAGACUCCUACGGGAGGCAGCAGUAGGGAACCUUCCGCAAUGGACGAAAGUCUGACGGAGCAACGCCGCGUGAGCGAAGAAGGCCUUCGGGUCGUAAAGCUCUGUUGUUAGGGAAGAACAAGUAACGCAGUAACUGGCGUUACCGUGACGGUACCUAACGAGAAAGCCACGGCUAACUACGUG
rnacentral:rRNA from 1 species